UGCUUGCACCGCCUGAUUAGUGGCGAACGGGUGAGUAACACGUGAGUAACCUGCCCUCCACUUCGGGAUAACCUCGGGAAAUCGUGGCUAAUACCGGAUAUGAGCACUCAUCGCAUGGUGGGUGUUGGAAAGAUUUAUCGGUGGGGGAUGGACUCGCGACCUAUCAGUUUGUUGGUGAGGUGAUGGCUCACCAAGACGAUGACGGGUAGCCGGCCUGAGAGGGCGACCGGCCACACUGGGACUGAGACACGGCCCAGACUCCUACGGGAGGCAGCAGUGGGGAAUAUUGCACAAUGGGCGAAAGCCUGAUGCAGCGACGCCGCGUGGGGGAUGACGGCCUUCGGGUUGUAAACCCCUUUCAGUAGGGAAGAAGCGAGAGUGACGGUACCUGCAGAAGAAGCGCCGGCUAACUACGUGCCAGCAGCCGCGGUAAUACGUAGGGCGCAAGCGUUGUCCGGAAUUAUUGGGCGUAAAGAGCUUGUAGGUGGCUUGUCGCGUCUGCCGUGAAAACCCGAGGCUCAACCUCGGGCGUGCGGUGGGUACGGGCAGGCUAGAGUGUGGUAGGGGAGACUGGAACUCCUGGUGUAGCGGUGAAAUGCGCAGAUAUCAGGAAGAACACCGAUGGCGAAGGCAGGUCUCUGGGCCAUUACUGACACUGAGAAGCGAAAGCAUGGGUAGCGAACAGGAUUAGAUACCCUGGUAGUCCAUGCCGUAAACGUUGGGCACUAGGUGUGG
rnacentral:rRNA from 1 species